GGCGAGUCCGCGCGGGGGGCGGCGGGGCAAAACUUCGCGGCCAGAUGCCCGAGGGCGCGGCGGCGCUGCGAGGCUGCCGCUGCUGCCCCUGCGGGCCCCGGGCGCGCCUCCGCGGGCGGCGCUGCCAGCGGCGAGGCGUGUGCACCGAGCGAGUGAAGGACGCUGGCAGCCCGGAGCCCCCGAACCCUCGGCAGGUUUGCUUGUCCUUCCCCGCGCUCUGAUUGGAUAAAGUGGGGGCUCGACGGUGGCCGACGCGGGACAGUCUGGCUGUGGCAGGGGUCUCGGAAACCAUGGGUUAUUGCAGUGGCAGGUGCACGCUUAUCUUUAUCUGUGGCAUGCAACUGGUUUGUGUGCUGGAGAGGCAAAUAUUUGACUUCCUUGGAUAUCAGUGGGCACCUAUCCUGGCAAAUUUUGUACAUAUUAUUAUCGUCAUUCUUGGUUUAUUUGGAACUAUUCAAUAUAGACCUCGUUACAUAACAGGAUAUGCUGUCUGGCUAGUCCUCUGGGUUACAUGGAAUGUGUUUGUUAUCUGCUUCUACUUGGAGGCUGGGGACCUCUCAAAGGAAACAGACCUUAUCCUGACUUUUAAUAUUUCAAUGCACCGGUCUUGGUGGAUGGAGAAUGGACCAGGAUGUACGGUGACAUCUGUGACACCUGCCCCAGACUGGGCCCCAGAAGACCAUCGCUACAUCACGGUCUCAGGGUGUUUUCUGGAGUACCAAUACAUAGAAGUGGCUCAUAGUUCCCUCCAGAUUGUCCUCGCACUGGCAGGGUUCAUCUACGCCUGUUAUGUUGUGAAAUGUAUAACUGAAGAAGAGGACAGCUUUGAUUUCAUAGGUGGCUUUGACUCUUAUGGCUAUCAAGGGCCUCAGAAGACAUCUCAUUUACAACUACAGCCUAUGUACAUGCAAAUUCCCCUGGAUAACAACUGAUAACAAAUUCUAUAUAUCAGCAUCAAGUGAUAUGCUGAAUUGCAAGCGAAGAUCAAAAUAGAAAGUCAAAAUAAUACACAUGGUUUCAGUAGUCAGCUCCUGGACUUUUCAAAGAACUUGUUUCGCAGUGGCCUCCUGAAUUUUAUGAAGAGCAAGAAGCAAUUGAGUUUAUAUAUGUAUACAUAUUAACAAAACAAACAUAAAACCUCUACAUACACUAGGACACACACGCGCGCGCGCGCGCACACCCACCAAUUCCGGCCUCCUCUAAGUGAAACAGACAAAUAUUCAGGACACGCCCAUCUUGGAUUUCCAGAAAGCAGGCUUCUUUCUCCCAGGCCUUUGGAAAAUUCAUACGGAGACACGUUGGUGCCCUCUGCUGGCCGUCACUAACUCCUCCGCAGUGCAGCCCGUCGGCCUCUGCGAGCUGCGAAGUCAUCCGGGGCACAUUAGUUUGAAAGCCCGGUCUUCUGCACUCCGUGAGUCUUGAUAGCACCACGGCUAUGUAGGCAAUGUCACUGCAAAAACAAAUAAACAAAACAUGCCAUGGUGACCUUGUAACCGAAGUCCGAAAUGGCAGGUUGUUUGCCCUAAAGGCUGUACCGUACAUACUUGCCUUAACCAACCUAAGUUGUGCACCCAAGAAUCUCAGUGCAGACAUCCCCAAGUCACUUCCUUUAGGCUAGCACACUGCUAUUAAUUCUGAAUGAGUUCGAGUCUGUGUGUUUCAUGUCAAGAAACAAGACUGCGUAGCUCAGCAUCUCCAGUUCGUCUGAGUGUACAAAAACUGCCAGCUAUCAGCAAAGUACUUUACCAUUGAGCCUCUGGGUCGUCAAAAAGAGACAAGUGACAAUAACAACAAGAAUAGGAACUGUCAUCUUUAUAAUUCUUAAACAUCGUCUUCUGAUGGGGUUGGGUGAAACAAAGUAAAACUUACUAAUCUACUAAACUCAUUAGUCUACUGGAAGCAGAGCAAAAAUGGCUUAACUCACUGAUUUUAUUUAUUGCACUCUAGGUGCUUUUAUAAGUAUCUACAAAUGUCUUUUACUAACACAGAAACAGCUGUGGAUUUCUAUCAACAGAGGCCAACUGAAUAUGUAUUAGCUAUGUUUACUCUUUUAUAUCUAAUUCAGAUUGAAGACACUACGUAGGUGAACUUUUUUUCCUAACCUCAGCGUACGAGAUUAUUUUUUGGGUGGGCGGGGGGAGCAAUAGUUACCUUGGUGAAAUAUUUGAGAUCUCUUUGUGGUAUUUGGGGGAUCUGUUGUGUGUUAGAGUGUAUUUUAAUCCUCCUGUAUUAUUGUGGCAGAAAAAACUGUGCUGUUAAUGUAGUUGGCAACAAGAUGCCUUUGGAAACUUAAUAGUAGAUCAAUGUGUUUUGGAAUAUUCUGAAUUCCUAGGAAAUUUUGUUCUAUAUAUUCAAAAAUUACUGGUUUCCAUUAGUGAAGAAAACAAUUAGCUCAGGCUUGUCAGGAACUCGGAUGAGUCAUGUUUUUUCUUGCAUCCACCUGAGACACUGAGAUCAGUUUUUUUAACUUUUCUCCAUCUUUAAAUGCAGUUAAAUUCGAGUUGAAAAGUUAUAAAUUGGCAUGGAGCAAAUUUUUCUCUUGGUUUCUAUGUAGUUUUAGUUACAGGGUUAACCUGGUUUGGACCUUAGCCUGUCCAGAUCUACAUAAACCAGUUCCCAUUACUGUCUUUGCAUGGAUGUCUGUGAAAUACACACAUAUACAUUUGAAAAUGAUGAAGGAACAAAGGUUGCCAUUGGAACAUAAACUACCAAAAAAAAGGUUCUAGCAUUUGUGCUUCAAUUUUCUCAGUGGCUUUUAUAUGUUUGUCCCUACAUACAUGUACAAAAUAUAUAAUUGCAAACAUGUCAGUGAAACCUCAUAUGAUGAUUUUACAGUGACAUGCAUGUUUAAUGUAUGAGAAAAAAUAUUUACCAAUAUAUUGUCUAUGAUUCUUUAAAUAUAAAUACUAUACAUGCCAGAAACUAUUCUAAUGUGACUAUUAAUGUGACAAUUAAAAUGAGGUUUCACUGUACAUUCAUGCUGUGAUGAGAUUCCAUCUUAUAGGACAUGUAUGGAUAGAGACUUUACAUGCAUAGAAUAAGCCCUCAUAUUCCUGCUUUAAGUUGCAGCCAAGUUACCACCUAAUCACUACUAUCAUCACCACCAAAAUUUUCAAAAACAGUUGUUGACUACUAAAAAGUAAUCAGUGGACAGGUCUUUUUUUGGAAGCAGUGAGCACAGUAGUGUGAUUAUAUCUGGAAAAAACAUCUAAGUUGUACAGCUGUAUCCUCCUCAAAAUCUGGUGAAGAAUGCUAUUUUUAUAGGCUGAACUUUUAUUAAAACCCUAAUAUUCAGAAGGCAAGAGUUACAAUCCUGAUGUGUCUUUUUUUUUUUGCGUUUGUUAAUUCUGAAUGUAUUUUUAACAAAGUGAUUUUUUUGACUUAACUAGUGUAAUUUGCAUUUUAAAAAUAAAUGGAAAAAGAAUUAAGUUUCUGAG